UUUAAGUAUUGAAUUGGCAAACGCAGUGGCGUGCCGGCAGUUCCAAGAGAAAUAAAGUAAGAGAAAGAACUGGUCUCCCUGUAUUAUUACAAGAAAAUGGAAAGACCAGGUCCAUGGAUUCGUGAUUUCAUGCAUGUAAGCUUACCCAGUCUCUCAUCAUUUUGUUAGUUUUUUCUUGCAUAUUAUCCUUCAAGACAAUAUUUUACCAAGUAAAAACCACCGAUUGACCUUUGCAUGCUCUAAAAAAGACUUUAUUUUAAAGUUCAAUUGUCUCCUUGUUUAGUAAUGAAUGUUAUUUUUCCAAGAUUUUGGUAAUUAAUAUCAUAUUUCCUUGUUUAGUUGAGUGUGAGAAAAGAAACGAAUGAAAAGCCAUGGCCUCCCGGUGGGUACGGUACCCUCCGCACACCCACAUUCACAAUUACCUAAUUACUGUAUUCAUAAUUCUCCGCUUUAAGGGAGGGAAUGCUUGAUAGAGGCGGCGACUGGAUCGUUAUAUGCAGCUACCACAGGAAUUUAUUCAAGUGAUCGGUAAAGGCUCCUUAUACUUGCAGUCUUCGGCCACUAAAGGCUCUUUUAAUAAGUGCAGAGGUGCGCCCUAAUUUGGAAUUGCUGGCCGUGUGGGAUUGGAUCGAGUGCGCGUGAGUGUUGAGUGCUUGGUGGGUCGUUGCGUGAGUGGAUGAUGCGCUUGUCCGUGUGCUUAUUGAAGUGCCUUGGCAGGGCCAUGUGCAAGUGAAGGUGCGGGCCCAUGGUUGCAAGUGAACGGUGCGAUCUUGAUCCAUGUGAAGAGAGCUUGGUCCAUGUGCGGGAGUGUUUCGGCGGGUCCAUGUGCGAUGGCGGGUCCAUGUGCGCGAUCUUGGCCCGUAAUUGAGAGGUGCGCUGGUCCAUGCGCAAGAACGGGCUGGAGUUGAAGUGCUGGCCACAUGUGUUUGUGAAUGGGCUGGAGUUGGAGCGAGUUGUCCAUGUGCGGUCCAAGGCGAAGUGAGCGUUGAAAUGGGCCAUGAGUGCAAGGUGGGCCGUCCAUGGUGCAAGAGCGUGUUGGCCCUGUGUGCAUCUAUGGGCUGUCCAUAAGCGGGCCCAAGUGCCAAAUUGCUUUAAAGUCCAAAGUAUUUCCCUCAUUUAGCUUGAUUUGGAUCCAAUUUGGCAGACUUGCUCUCUUUUAUUUAAAAUAAGGCAGUUUUAGGGGAAUUUUUUUCAAAUUGUCCUUUUACACCAUUUUCUGCAAAAUAAUAUCAAAAGCACUAAAUUAAGCAGAAAUCAUAUAAAUAUUCAUCAAUAAUAUUAAUAUAAAUUGGACUAAAUUAUGCUCUAUCAAAUACCCCCACACUUAGCCUUUUGCUUGUCCUCAAGCAAAUAAACAUAGUUAAACAAGCUCUCUUUGCUACUUGAUCCUUUAUUUCCACUUAAACUCUUAUUCAAGACACCUAUUUUGAAUCAUUGCGGUGAAGAAUAUAUGCAUGAAGAUUACUCACCUUCUUUCAUUGUUUCCCUUUACUUACCAUGACUAGGAUUUGUUUUACUCAAGAGAGAGAUCAUGCAUGCACAUAUUUGUUAAGACUUUUUCUAACUUUUAGAGUGACUUGCCCUUACUUUGAAGUACUUUAUUCAGCUUUUUGCACUUUUAAUUUUGCUUGAACAAGUCACCAACCUUUUGACGUGAAGGUACAUAUUUGUGAUACCCACCCCCAGUUACUCAGUUGGUCACCUAUCCAAGUGGCUACUAGCUU
rnacentral:lncRNA from 1 species